rnacentral:lncRNA from 1 species
AUGUUUUCCGGUUUAAACAUGUUUAAACAUUUCCUUUGUCGCAAGCUGUCUAAUCUGCUACUGAGAAGAAAUGCCUUAGCAGAAUUUCAGAGAAAUGACAUUUCCCAGGUAUUGAAAAGGAAAAUGCUGAUCCGCAUGUUACCAUGGAACUGUGUCUGCUUACAGCUGCGUUCCUUCAAUGGCAGUGUGAAAAUGUGAGAGGAAAGAACCCGUGAAAUUUAAAGACAAAGGCACAGAAAUGAUUGAAAGCGAGUCCCUAAGGACCAAGAGAGAAUGGAAAAAACACCCAGGCACCAAGAAGGAAGGAUGUGAAAAGAGAAGAAAAACUGAGGAAAUUCUGGCUAAAUUGGAUCAUUCACUUCAUCCAAUGGUGGCUAUGUUUGGACCUGUCUGAUAUGGUCGGUAGACAUGGCCUUGGAUUUUGAUGUCUUGUCAGAGAAAAGAAACAGUAGCAGAUGGUACCACAAUAAGAAACACGAUGGACAGGUUAUUGAUUAUAAAUGGUUUUGCUUAAAAUAUCUUGUAACAACUUCUGUCUAAUACUUCCAAAGAGCUAUUAAUAAUCUUACCCAUUAAAGAAAAACAUUGUCAUUUUCCCUUAAUGAAAAUGUAUUUUCUGCCACAGCUGCUAUUAUCUUAUCAACAUCUGUCCCUGCCUUAUGGAAAAGUUUGUUUUUCAAAUGAAAUAAGAAUAACAAGCCUGACAUUUAAUAUACUUAAUAUGCAAUCUGUCUCAUGAUGCAUCAAUGAAUUUAUUUUCAAUAUGAAAUCUGGAUCAAAAUCUUUGGGUUAGAAAAGGAAAUUACAAGUGUAAACAUAUUUUAAAUAUGGUUCCAUAAAUAGCGUCAUGGAUUUAUCAACAGAAUUACUGUUUAUCUGAAGCCUUGUGAUAAGGUUCUUUAUUAGAACUAUGGUUUUUACUUUAAUAAUUAACUGCACUUUGUAGAUUUGAUUAUAUGUUUGAAGUUUCCAUUGAAUUAUUUACAUAAAUCUCAUUUGCUAUGAUGGUUGCACAAUGAUGUGAGUGUACUUAAUGCCACUGAACUGUACACUUAAAAAUGGUUAAAAGGGUAAGUUUAUGUUAUGUGUAUUUUACCACAAUAAAAAUGCCAUUUACUAUACA